UUUGUUUUAUUUUUAACUGUAAUGUUACCAAAAACACCAAAGCCAGCAUUCUGGAAAUUCGUCAAAGGAAGUGCUAAAGUGUUAUUUAUAGCGGAAGCCUUUGCCUUUGCAGCUUCAUACGGAGUUUAUUAUCGCAUGAAUACUAAUCGUGAAUUCCGUCACUACGUAAACGAAAACUUCCCAUUUGUGUUGGACUACUAUUAUAAAGUAGGUGAAGUUUUAGGUGACAGUAAUUUGCGUAAACUUGAUUCUGCUGUUUGGCGUGCUGAAAAUCAAAAACGAGAAUAAGCAGUCAUAACCAAUUGGGUACCUUAAAGUUUUUUCAAAUCCUAUUCUACUACAUCAAUUAGCACUUUAUUUGUUCAGGCGGAGUUGGCUACGGACUUAUGCUACUGACCGAACCCUCUGAGGAAAAACUAGCCCGUAUUAAAGAGACCGGUGGACCAGCACAUCUAUCCAACGAAGAACUUAAGAAACUACAAUUUAUGCAACGUAUGCGUGAAGCUGCUACCGGAGAAGUACCACCAAUUUACAUGCAGAAAAAA